AUUGAACGCUGGCGGCAGGCUUAACACAUGCAAGUCGAGCGAGCGGUGGACGGGUGAGUAAUGUCUGGGAAACUGCCUGAUGGUGGGGGAUAACUACUGGAAAAGUUAGCUAAUACCGCAUACCAUCAGAUGUGCCCAGAUGGGAUUAGCUAGUAGGUGGGGUAUUGGCUCACCUAGGCCACGACCCCUAGCUGGUCUGAGAGGAUGACCAGCAACUCGGGAACUGAGACACGGUCCAGACGCCUACGGGAGGCAGCAGUGGGGAAUAUUGCACAAUGGGCGCAGGCCUUAGGCAGCCAUGCAGCGUGUGUGAAGAUGGCCUUCGGGUUGUAAAGCACUUUCAGCGAGGAGGCGUUACUCGCAGAAGGAGCACCGGCUAUCUCCGUGCCAGCAGCCGCGGUAAUAC
rnacentral:rRNA from 1 species